GGAUAUAGUAUAAUGGUAAAUACAUCACAUUGUGGCUGUGAAAUUCUGGGUUCAAUUCCCAGUAUCC
rnacentral:tRNA from 1 species